UGUUUCAGCCCGAGAUGCAGACGAGCGGGAGAAGUGGAUCCACGCCUUAGAGGGAACCAUCCUCCGCCACACCCUCCAGCUCAGAGAGGCAGAGACAGGAUUGGUGCCGAGCGUUCAGGACUUUGAUAAGAAGCUCUCUGAAGCUGACGCCUACCUGCAGAUCCUGAUCGACCAAUUAAAGCUGUUUGAUGAGAAGAUCAAGGACUGUAAAGAGGAUGAGUCCCGCAGAGUGAGUACCUGCUAAUCUGUCGUUAGCGCUGAAGCUAACAGCAGGAAGCACGUUGAAUUAUAUAUGA